UACGGAGGAUGCAAGCGUUAUCCGGAUUUAUUGGGUUUAAAGGGUGCGUAGGCGGGAAAUAAGUCAGUGGUGAAAUCCUACAGCUUAACUGUAGAAUUGCCGUUGAUACUGUUUUUCUUGAGUAUGGUCAAGGAAGGCGGAAUGUGUAAUGUAGCGGUGAAAUGCUUAGAUAUUACACAGAACACCAAUUGCGAAGGCAGCUUUCUGGCCCAUUACUGACGCUGAGGCACGAAAGCGUGGGGAUCGAACAGGAUUAGGAUACCCGUGUA
rnacentral:rRNA from 1 species